GGUCGAUCUCAUGUGGUAGACAGAGACAACAACAUCUCCAUGGACAGUGGCUCCCAGUGGGAUCAGCACCUUCCCUUCCUGCACACGCAGCUGCACAGCAGGGCCAGGAUGGGAGAAGAGGUGACAGAAACAGAACAUUGCACUGACCAGAACUGCUGAGGCUGCACGGCCGUCCUGAAAAGGAAAGGGGCGGAGAAGAAAAACUCUCAGCAAAACCAGAGAACCAAAAUGAGCUGCCCAGGAUGAGGCUGGAGAGGAGCCCCUCACCUGCCUGGAUGCCACGACCACCUCCCACUACCCCUCUGCCUCUGGUCCCUGCCCUGGUAGGAAAUUCUUCCAGGUAAUGGCCUUUGAUGAUAGAUAUUAACCUGCCUGCAGCAUCUCACCAUCCCAGCAGCUGCAAGGACCCAAAUCACUCUAACACAGCAGCCCACUGUGAGUAAGGAGCUGCUGGCACAGCCUGUGAUUAUGAGCAAUUGCAGCAGAGAUGUUGUAGCAGCAAAUUCAGAGAUGUUUCUGAAGUUUGGGAGUAAAGUAAGUUAUAGAAAAACAA